rnacentral:rRNA from 1 species
CCUACGGAGGCUGCAGUGAGGAAUAUUGGUCAAUGGCCGGAAGGCUGAACCAGCCAAGCCGCGUGAAGGACGAAGGUGCCAAGCAUUGUAAACUUCUUUUGUCAAGGGACAAAAUCAGGCUCGAGAGCCUGACCGAGGGUACUUGAAGAAAAAGCAUCGGCUAACUCCGUGCCAGCAGCCGCGGUAAUACGGAGGAUGCGAGCGUUAUCCGGAUUUAUUGGGUUUAAAGGGUGCGCAGGCGGAAGAUCAAGUCAGCGGUAAAAUUGAGAGGCUCAACCUCUUCGAGCAGUUGAAACUGGCAGUCUUGAGUACAGUAGAGGUGGGCGGAAUGCGUGGUGUAGCGGUGAAAUGCUUAGAUAUCACGAAGAACUCCGAUUGCGAAGGCAGUUCACUGGACUGCAACUGACACUGAGGCUCGAAAGUGUGGGUAUCAAACAGGAUUAGAUACCCGAGUAGUC